rnacentral:rRNA from 1 species
AUUGAACGCUGGCGGCAGGCUUAACACAUGCAAGUCGAGCGGAGAUGAGGUGCUUGCACCUUAUCUUAGCGGCGGACGGGUGAGUAAUGCUUAGGAAUCUGCCUAUUAGUGGGGGACAACAUUCCGAAAGGAAUGCUAAUACCGCAUACGCCCUACGGGGGAAAGCAGGGGAUCUUCGGACCUUGCGCUAAUAGAUGAGCCUAAGUCGGAUUAGCUAGUUGGGGGGGUAAAGGCCUACCAAGGCGACGAUCUGUAGCGGGUCUGAGAGGAUGGUCCGCCACACUGGGACUGAGACACGGCCCAGACUCCUACGGGAGGCAGCAGUGGGGAAUAUUGGACAAUGGGCGGAAGCCUGAUCCAGCCAUGCCGCGUGUGUGAAGAAGGCCUUUUGGUUGUAAAGCACUUUAAGCGAGGAGGAGGCUACCUGGAUUAAUACUCUAGGAUAGUGGACGUUACUCGCAGAAUAAGCACCGGCUAACUCUGUGCCAGCCGCCGCCGUAAUAC